rnacentral:rRNA from 1 species
UACGUAGGGUGCAAGCGUUGUCCGGAAUUAUUGGGCGUAAAGAGCUCGUAGGCGGUCUGUCGCGUCGGCUGUGAAAACCCGAGGCUCAACCUCGGGCCUGCAGUCGAUACGGGCAGACUAGAGUUCGGCAGGGGAGACUGGAAUUCCUGGUGUAGCGGUGAAAUGCGCAGAUAUCAGGAGGAACACCGGUGGCGAAGGCGGGUCUCUGGCUUCACCCUGACGCUGAGGCGCGAAAGCGUGGGGAGCGAACGGG